rnacentral:ncRNA from 2 species
CUGCCCAAGGAGCGUUGCAGCGGCCCCCCAACCGGGUGGCCGUCAGGCUUGGGUACCGAAAGAGCCCCCGCAGGCCCCACCGCAACGACGCUCACCUGUU